rnacentral:ribozyme from 1 species
GAGGAGGGAGGAGGAGACCAUAUUCGUGGAUCAUCAAUCCGUGGUGGUGGUCGUGGUCGACUUGAUGCCGAGGGCCUCUUCGGCGGAGCGCUCGCGCUCGACCUGUUGCAUCAAGGCG